rnacentral:rRNA from 1 species
GAUAGUGCCAUGCUCUAGCUAUAGCGAUUAUACCGCGAACUGCGAAUGGCUCAUUAUAUAAGUUAUCGUUUAUUUGAUAAUACUUUACUACUUGGAUAACCGUGGUAAUUCUAGAGCUAAUACAUGCUAAAAAUCCCGACUUCGGAAGGGUUGUAUUUAUUAGAUUAAAAACCAAUGCCCCUCGGGGCUCUCUGGUGAAUCAUGAUAACUAGUCGAAUCGACAGGCCUUGUGCCGGCGAUGGCUCAUUCAAAUUUCUUCCCUAUCAACUUUCGAUGUUUGGGUCUUGUCCAAACAUGGUGGCAACGGGUAACGGAGGGUUAGGGCUCGACCCCGGAGAAGGAGCCUGAGAAACGGCUACUACAUCCAAGGAAGGCAGCAGGCGCGCAAAUUACCCAAUCCCGACACGGGGAGGUAGUGACAAUAAAUACUGAUACAGGGCUCUUUUGGGUCUUGUAAUCGGAAUGAGUACAAUUUAAAUCCCUUAACGAGGAACAAUUGGAGGGCAAGUCUGGUGCCAGCAGCCGCGGUAAUUCCAGCUCCAAUAGCGUAUAUUAAAGUUGUUGUGGUUAAAAAGCUCGUAGUUGAACCUUGGGCCUGGCUGGCCGGUCCGCCUCACCGCGUGCACUGGUCCGGCCGGGCCUUUCCCUCUGCGGAACCGCAUGCCCUUCACUGGGUGUGGCGGGGAAACAGGACUUUUACUUUGAAAAAAUUAGAGUGCUCAAGGCAGGCCUAUGCUCGAAUACAUUAGCAUGGAAUAAUAGAAUAGGACGUGUGGUUCUAUUUUGUUGGUUUCUAGGACCGCCGUAAUGAUUAAUAGGGACAGUCGGGGGCAUCAGUAUUCAAUUGUCAGAGGUGAAAUUCUUGGAUUUAUUGAAGACUAACUACUGCGAAAGCAUUUGCCAAGGAUGUUUUCAUUAAUCAGGAACGAAAGUUAGGGGAUCGAAGACGAUCAGAUACCGUCGUAGUCUUAACCAUAAACUAUGCCGACUAGGGAUCGGACGAUGUUACUUUUUUGACGCGUUCGGCCCUUACGAGAAAUCAAAGGGUUGGG